AAACCAACAGGGAUUGCCUUAGUAACGGCGAGUGAAGCGGCAAAAGCUCAAAUUUGAAAUCUGGUACCUUCGGUGCCCGAGUUGUAAUUUGGAGAGGGCAACUUUGGGGCCGUUCCUUGUCUAUGUUCCUUGGAACAGGACGUCAUAGAGGGUGAGAAUCCCGUGUGGCGAGGAGUGCGGUUCUUUGUAAAGUGCCUUCGAAGAGUCGAGUUGUUUGGGAAUGCAGCUCUAAGUGGGUGGUAAAUUCCAUCUAAAGCUAAAUAUUGGCGAGAGACCGAUAGCGAACAAGUACAGUGAUGGAAAGAUGAAAAGAACUUUGAAAAGAGAGUGAAAAAGUACGUGAAAUUGUUGAAAGGGAAGGGCAUUUGAUCAGACAUGGUGUUUUGUGCCCUCUGCUCCUUGUGGGUAGGGGAAUCUCGCAUUUCACUGGGCCAGCAUCAGUUUUGGUGGCAGGAUAAAUCCAUAGGAAUGUAGCUUGCCUCGGUAAGUAUUAUAGCCUGUGGGAAUACUGCC
rnacentral:rRNA from 1 species